rnacentral:lncRNA from 1 species
GCUGGAGCUUUGCAGCGGGAGGCCUCCCCCACGCGGGGUCGCGGGGUCGCGGGGUCCCCGGGGUCGCGUCCCUGCACCCCCGACCCCCGGGCGGGCCCCCCUCUCCCAGCGCGCGGGGUGCACUGCCCGUUGCACCUGGGGGGUCUCGCGGCUGCCCCUGCGCCCAGGGAGCCCACGCAGGACCCCUCGCGGUGGGCGGGGGAGCCCUGUAGGCUCAGCGCGGGGAGGAGGAUUUACCCCAUUACCCUCCCCGGGAGCGGACGGGAGCCCCGGAGCGGCCCGCCGGCGGGGGGCGGGGCCGGGAGCGAGGGGGCGUGGCCACGGUGGGGGCGUGGCCAGGGCGGGGCGGGGCCCGGCUGCCGGCGCCGCUCUGCGCCUGCGCGCGGUUCCCAUGGCGACGGCGCCGCCAGCCCGCGAUGCCCCCGGCUCGCCCCUAAGCCGGGUCCCCCGCGCGGCGUCCGCGGCCCCCUCUCUCCUCCUCCUCCUCCUCCUCCUUUGUUGUCCGUACCUCGGGGCGAGCUUCCGACGGGGCUUUCACGGUAGCAGCUCGGCACUGGAGCCACGACCAAGCCCCCGGGGCAGAAGCCUGUCCCCAGCCCCGCCGCCGCGCUUUACUGAUUUGAGCGCAGACGGGAAGGAAAGGCUGAGAGCUUGCUCGUUGGGGCGGCCGCGGGGACGCCCCCCGCCCCCCAUACAGCUCAUUUCCUUGGAGUACAGACUGGGCCCUAACAUUUGCUGUCUUCCGAAGUACAGUACUGAGUUUAGGAGGAACAGAAAAACCCUGUAAUUCUCAGGUUUCUUAGAUGAAGAUAAGGUGAGUGAUUCAGUAGUCCUUUGUUCUGGCUCCAUGUUUCAUGACAUAAUAAACCUCCUGCAGCUCCUUUCUAAGAAUAGUGUUGGUCCGCAUGCUUGAAGGAUCAUGACUAUUAUUUCUCUGUGGGGAGGAAAAAAAGGAAAAUUAUGAUAGAAGGGGGGAAACGAAUAAAGGAGUACAGUAGGGCAUUUAAACAUUUUAACUUUUGAGCUGGCCUAAUUCUAGGCAUUUUUAGUGAGUUUAGACUCUAUUGAAAUCCAUUAUGGCAAUGACACCUCCCUUGGUGUAACACUGACCAAGGUUGAGAAGCCCUUCCUCUUUCGCAGAACAUGGAAAGUUAGGGAGACAGGCGUCUCCUUUCUUCCCCCACCACCUCAUGGGUUUAACAAUUAUCAGCUCAGAGAAUCUUGCUGAAGAGCAUCCCCAUUUGGUUAUUGCUCUUUGUCUAGGAAAAUCAGACUCAGCUGUGGAGUGUGGACCAAGUGGUGCAGAACUCAUUACUUUGAACAAUGCCUCCUCUGCCUGGGAAGCAUGUUUUCUCUUCUCACUCGUAGGGGCUUAUUCCAGGCUGGCGUCGCUCACAAGGAAAAUCAUUUAGACACAGUUCAGUGGACACUCACUCACAUCUCUUUGACACCCGUGACCAUUUUUGUUUAAGGAGAAAUCCAGUACUGCUGUGGUAGGGUGUGCCGAAUUAGAAGUGCAUUUUAAGAAGCCCACGAAGAAGUUUACACAGCUUGGUCUUAUUAUCAUCAGGGUCUCUGUCUUCUGUGCUUCAAAGUAGAAGAGGACAGGGUGGGCGCAGAGGGGACAACCAGGAGAACCUUUAUUACAGCCAGGUUAAAAACUUUCUCACCAAC